AACGAACGCUGGCGGCAGGCCUAACACAUGCAAGUCGAGCGCCCCGCAAGGGGAGGCGGCGGACGGGUGAGUAACACGUGGGAAUUUUCCUCAAGGUACGGAACAACUCAGGGAAACUUGGGCUAAUACCGUAUGAUGCAGAGAUGCCAAAGAUUUAUCGCCUUGGGAUAAGCCCGCGUCAGAUUAGGUAGUUGGUGGGGUAAUGGCCUACCAAGCCUGUGAUCUGUAGCUGGUCUGAGAGGACGAUCAGCCACAUUGGGACUGAGACACGGCCCAAACUCCUACGGGAGGCAGCAGUGGGGGAAUCUUGCGCAAUGGACGAAAGUCUGACGCAGCCAUGCCGCGUGAAUGAUGAAGGUCUUAGGAUUGUAAAGUUCUUUAGCCUGUGACGAUGAUGACGGUAACAGGAGAAUAAGCCCCGGCUAACUUCGUGCCAGCAGCCGCGGUAAAGU
rnacentral:rRNA from 1 species